AGCGAACGCUGGCGGCAUGCUUAACACAUGCAAGUCGCACGGUAUGGGGGCAACUCCAUGCAGUGGCGGACGGGUGAGUAACGCGUAGGAAUCUAUCCUUGGAUGGGGGACAACCGUGGGAAACUACGGCUAAUACCGCAUAAUGCCUGAGGGCCAAAGCGUAAGUCGUCUGGGGAGGAGCCUGCGUCUGAUUUAGGUAGUUGGUGGGGUAAAGGCCUACCAAGCCUGCGAUCAGUAGCUGGUCUGAGAGGAUGAUCAGCCACAUUGGGACUGAGACACGGCCCAAAUCCUACGGGAGGCAGCAGUGGGAAUAUUGGGACAAUGGGGGCAACCCUGAUCCAGC
rnacentral:rRNA from 1 species